UACGUAGGGUGCGAGCGUUAAUCGGAAUUACUGGGCGUAAAGCGUGCGCAGGCGGUUUUGUAAGCCAGAUGUGAAAUCCCCGGGCUUAACCUGGGAAUGGCAUUUGGGACUGCAAGGCUUGAGUGUGGCAGAGGAGACUGGAAUUCCUGGUGUAGCAGUGAAAUGCGUAGAUAUCAGGAGGAACACCGAUGGCGAAGGCAGGUCUCUGGGCUAACACUGACGCUCAUGCACGAAAGCGUGGGGAGC
rnacentral:rRNA from 1 species